GCAAAGGCAGCAUGGAGCCCUCCACGGCUGCCAAGGAAGAAGGUGGCAGUGAGGAGCGUAACGAGAGAGGAAAUUGACAGGUUCUGGAGGAGGAAGCAGGUCGAGGAAGAAGAACGCCUCCUCUCUGCACACAAGGCAGCAGCAAGAAUUCGAGCUCAGGCUCUCACGGAGGGAGACUACCGGCGGUUCGAGCAAUCUCUUUGGAGCAUCAUCGACGAGAACAAGGAAUUCAACAACAAAACCAGCGGCGGAAACAAUAUAGAACAGCUGGUGGGAAUCAAGGAUUGGUGGACCAAAAGCAAAUAUGCAUAUCUGAAUCAACCUGCUAUCAAAUCCAUGGGAGACUGUGCAGCUAGAAGAGAGACAUCUAUAUAUACUCCACAGAUGACUUGUUUCUUCGAGUCUCAUGCUACAUCUCUAUCCACGAUCGACUCGUCUCUUGGGGUUUUCUAGAUAAUUGGCGUUGGACAUGAAGAUGUAACGAGACUUUAUUUAAGCUCAUGUUGCGUGG
rnacentral:misc_RNA from 1 species